GACGAACGCUGGCGGCGUGCUUAACACAUGCAAGUCGAGCGGAGCGGCGAACGGGUGAGUAACGCGUGAGUAACUUCCCCCCUCCCUGGGAUAACAGUUGGAAACGGCUGCUAAUACCGGAUAGUGGGGGAUGACUCGCGUCCAAUCCGCUUGUUGGGGGGGUAGUGGCCUACCAAGGCGACGACGGGUAGCCGGCCUGAGAGGGCGACAAGCAACAUGGGGGUGAGCUACGGCCCAAACUCCUACGGGAGGCAGCGGUGGGGAAUAGUGCACAAUGGGGGAAACUCUUAUGCAGCAUCGCCGCGUGCGGGAUGACGGCCUUCGGGUUGUAAACCGCUUUCAGCCAUGACGCGGUAGUGGCAGAAGAAGCACCGGCUAACUACGUGCCAGCAGCCGCGGUAAUUC
rnacentral:rRNA from 1 species